UCGAGCGAAGCGUAUUAGCGGAAGUUUUCGGAUGGAAGCGGAUAUGACUUAGCGGCGGACGGGUGAGUAACGCGUGGAUAACCUGCCUCAUACAGGGGGAUAACAGUUAGAAAUGACUGCUAAUACCGCAUAAGCGCACAGGACCGCAUGGUCCGGUGUGAAAAACUCCGGUGGUAUGGGAUGGAUCCGCGUCUGAUUAGCUGGUUGGUGAGGUAACGGCCCACCAAGGCGACGAUCAGUAGCCGACCUGAGAGGGUGGCCGGCCACAUUGGGACUGAGACACGGCCCAAACUCCUACGGGAGGCAGCAGUGGGGAAUAUUGCACAAUGGGGGAAACCCUGAUGCAGCAACGCCGCGUGAGUGAAGAAGUAUUUCGGUAUGUAAAGCUCUAUCAGCAGGGAAGAAGAAAGACGGUACCUGACUAAGAAGCCCCGGCUAACUACGUGCCAGCAGCCGCGGUAAUACGUAGGGGGCAAGCGUCAUCCGGAUUUACUGGGUGUAAAGGGAGCGUAGACGGCUGUGCAAGUCUGAAGUGAAAGCCCGUGGCUCAACCGCGGAACUGCUUUGGAAACUGUAUAGCUUGAGUACUGGAGAGGCAGGCGGAAUUCCUAGUGUAGCGGUGAAAUGCGUAGAUAUUAGGAGGAACACCAGUGGCGAAGGCGGCCUGCUGGACAGAAACUGACGUUGAGGCUCGAAAGCGUGGGGAGCAAACAGGAUUAAAAUACCCUGGUAGUCCACGCGGUAAACGAAUGAAUGGUAGGUGUUGGGGAGCAAAGCUCUUCGGUGCCGUCGCAAACGCAGUAAGCAUUCCACCUGGGGAGUACGUUCGCAAGAAUGAAACUCAAAGGAAUUGACGGGGACCCGCACAAGCGGUGGAGCAUGUGGUUUAAUUCGAAGCAACGCGAAGAACCUUACCAAGUCUUGACAUCCUCCUGAAUGAUGGGUAAAGCCGUCAGGCCUUCGGGACAGGAGAGACAGGUGGUGCAUGGUUGUCGUCAGCUCGUGUCGUGAGAUGUUGGGUUAAGUCCCGCAACGAGCGCAACCCUUAUCCUCAGUAGCCAGCGGCCAGGCCGGGCACUCUGUGGAGACUGCCAGGGAGAACCUGGAGGAAGGUGGGGAUGACGUCAAAUCAUCAUGCCCCUUAUGAUUUGGGCUACACACGUGCUACAAUGGCGUAAACAAAGGGAAGCGAAGUGGCGACACGGAGCGAACCCCAAAAAUAACGUCUCAGUUCGGAUUGUAGUCUGCAACUCGACUACAUGAAGCUGGAAUCGCUAGUAAUC
rnacentral:rRNA from 1 species